rnacentral:rRNA from 1 species
ACGAACGCUGGCGGCGUGCUUAACGCAUGCAAGUCGAACGGAAAGGCCCUGCUUUUGUGGGGUGCUCGAGUGGCGAACGGGUGAGUAACACGUGAGUAACCUGCCCUUGACUUUGGGAUAACUUCAGGAAACUGGGGCUAAUACCGGAUAGGAGCUCCUGCUGCAUGGUGGGGGAUGGAAAGUUUCGGCGGUUGGGGAUGGACUCGCGGCUUAUCAGCUUGUUGGUGGGGUAGUGGCUUACCAAGGCUUUGACGGGUAGCCGGCCUGAGAGGGUGACCGGCCACAUUGGGACUGAGAUACGGCCCAGACUCCUACGGGAGGCAGCAGUGGGGAAUAUUGCACAAUGGGCGGAAGCCGGAUGCAGCAACGCCGCGUGCGGGAUGACGGCCUUCGGGUUGUAAACCGCUUUCGCCUGUGACGAAGCGUGAGUGACGGUAAUGGGUAAAGAAGCACCGGCUAACUACGU